GCUAUUACAUCCUGUUGCUUCCUAUGCUGUAACUAUUUAUCCAUGCGGUUAGUGUUAUGAUGUCAUAAUGAGCCAAUAACUUGCCAGGUGGUGGCACCUUUACAGGAUUCCACUGUACACUGGACCCCUUCUGUACACUGCCCUCCAUUCGAACUGCACAGCAGACAAACACGUGGUCACUGUCUGCAGCCACUACAGCAACCAUUCAACUCUCCUGGAGACAGCACUGUCCCUGGAUGUAACAAGCGGGGAGGAGACAUAUUCUGAGCUGUAGGAUUUCCACAGGCAGUGGCUGUUUAAACCAAGGAAUUUCGACGACGAGCCUCCUCAAGUCACCUCUCCGGUUUGACAUUUCCGAAAGCUGGGGACCCGAGCACCUUACCACAGGGAAGAGGGUCGGAUACUCACUUUUGUCCACCGUCCUUGGUAUGUAGAGUGUGGUGUCUAGGCCGCUGUACACCCUCUGUCCUCCGUCGGUGACCACGUACUCCUUCAGCUGGCCGUUCAGGAGAAAGGUGCCGCUCCAGUCCACCCACACCGUGGACGUGUUGCUGCCCACUGAGAACAAGGCUUGGUACUGAGGCACUGUGGGGGAGGAAAACACGGCUCCUAGACACAGGAACUUCCGGGAUGGAUGGGCCGGGUGCUUUUCGAAGAGUGUAAACAACAGUAUUGGAAAUCAGCCGACCAACCAACCAAACAGAAACAACCCUGGGUGUUGCUAGAAACCCAUUAACAAACGCGGGUGGAAGGCAGGAGGAGGGCCAAUGGAAGCACGUGUGAAGUGCGCUCUCAGCAGCUUUGCACUGCUCUAAAAAUCAAUGGAGAGUGCUGAUUUAUAAAUAAAACUAUUAACACACAAUGGGUUUGCUUAGCAACAUAA